rnacentral:pre_miRNA from 1 species
GAAAUAUUCCCUUCGUCCGGAAAUACAUGUCAAAAAAAUAAAUAUAUUUAGAUGUAUUAGUUAUAGAUACAUUUAUUUUUAUUCAUUUCUAUGAUAAGUAAUUCCGGACGAAGGAAGUAUAUA